UGGGAACUGGUCCUGGAGGUUGAAUUUUAAAAGAACAAUGGAGCCCUGACUACAUUGAAACAAAAAUAUAACUUGUGGUUUCCCCCCCAUUGGGUGUUGGCUUUUAACUCUUUCAAAGCUGAUUUUCAAAACGGUCGCAGGGUUGUGGAUGCGGAGAUCCUUGCUACUUACCAAAGCUUUACGAUGGUAAGGUUGUCUUUUGAAAAUGCAAGUUGGAGGAAUUAGGAAGAGCCAGGGUACCGCGUCGCCCAGGGUGUUUUCAUGGAAGGGGGGUUCGAUCCUUACGGGGCUAGGUGAUGACGUUCGAUUAGGAUGGUUUUAUUUUGCUGGGAAUUACGACACAAUCGUUUUGACAUCCUGAUCGUUGAAUAUGGUGGAAUAUACUGCUGGAUACUUUUUCGAAAGGUCGUCGGGAGCCGUUGUCUAACUUCUCCCACCUGGACGUGAACACGUACUUAGGUAACUUACAAGAUUAAAAUUAAUUUGGUUGCUGGUGGUUCUGAAUAUGUACAGCUCUUUUAUCUCAGGUAUGUGAUUUUGAAGACUGAGACUUUGGAAUUUUAACCUCUAAGGAUAAAGAAAAUGUUUGGGGAAAGUCUUAUUUUAUAUCGCAAAAAUGAGAAUCCCGACUGAUAAUCUAGAAGGCCUGUACAGUAUAGCAGACCUUGGAAACACACCCAGUCAGCUUGAAGAGUCUCAAAAGGACCCUACCACUGAGAAAUCAAGAUGGCAGUCCACUAUGGGGAAUUGAGGAAAAUGGAUUAAUACGAGAGUGCUGUGAUAAAAUACCACCAAGACAGGGUUCUUUUAACAUGGAUUCAGUGAAAUGAAUGAAACCUAUGUUACCCAAGAAAUGGACAGUGGAUUUGACUUUCUAAAAGACUUUUGCAUCAUUUAAACUAGUUCAUUUUUAAUAUUUGGAGAAGAUGAUAACACAGAUGAUAGUGUGUAUGCCAGAUUUUGAUUUGUUUGAAUA